AGUGUCUUUUUGAAGGGUUUAAUUUGUACAGUUUAAAAGUAUAGGGGCUAAGUUCUUACUUGUACGAAUUUCAGGUGCAGCAAAAGCUACAAAAUAUAUCUAUAUUUCACUUUCUCACCCCAGGGUUUAGGCUAAUUACAAAUCUUGCACCAAAAGCCAUUUGAAGCCCCAAUUUGGUCAGAUCUGCUCCCCAUCUGCUUCGUUGCGUUGCAGCGGGAACAACAAGAUUCCGCCAUUAAAAUCUCUUCCGGGUCAUUGGACAAGAAUCACAGAACCAGUUGGUGGUAGGCUAUCAUAUAAACCCCCAGUUAUGACAUCAAUUCACCAAAUCUUUAUACUCCAUUAAUGGCUUCAGUCCUAUAUUGUUCUUGCUGGCUUCUCACUGAGUCUUCAAGGGAAGUAACUAUCAUCAAUUCAUCAUGCUUUGUUCUAUGUAUGUAUAUGCGUAUGUUUGUAUGUGUAUAUAAUAUGUAUAUAGUUAUAUAUUUUUUUAUUGCAUUCAGGACAUGGAAAGCUCCAAACUCUGAGAAAAACUAGAGAGAAAAAAACCAACUAUAUAACAAAUUGUUACAAUCACAUGGACUAAUCAUCCACCUUCCUCCGAUUACGCCCAUAUUCUCCAAAGAUUUGAGUAACACUUUUCUAUGUUGGUCUAUAUUUGUCAAGCAUUGUACUUGUUUGUUGAUUCCGGGUCUAUGGUUCUUUGAGGUAGGUGGUAUGAUAGGUUGUACAAUGUUUAGCCUGUGAAUUAGGUUUGUGGGUGGGACAAAUUUUGCAAAUUUUUGUCCCAUUUGAGGAUUUACUAUCUUGUACAUGUGUAAAAGACGUAAAUACCCUUCUUGUCUUCGUUAUGUUUGGGAGUUGUUUUUUUUAAUGAGCUUAAUAGUUUAAGCACUUAAUCUGAACAACUAUAUAUGGAUGUUUCUUUUUUAAUCCA